AACUCUGGUAAUGAUUGGUGCUUGCAUCAUGAAUUACAUUUGAGUGAGUGGCGAACUGGUGAGUAACACGUGGGAAACCUGCCCAGAAGCGGGGGAUAACACCUGGAAACAGAUGCUAAUACCGCAUAACAACUUGGACCGCAUGGUCCGAGUUUGAAAGAUGGCUUCGGCUAUCACUUUUGGAUGGUCCCGCGGCGUAUUAGCUAGAUGGUGAGGUAACGGCUCACCAUGGCAAUGAUACGUAGCCGACCUGAGAGGGUAAUCGGCCACAUUGGGACUGAGACACGGCCCAAACUCCUACGGGAGGCAGCAGUAGGGAAUCUUCCACAAUGGACGAAAGUCUGAUGGAGCAACGCCGCGUGAGUGAAGAAGGGUUUCGGCUCGUAAAACUCUGUUGUUAAAGAAGAACAUAUCUGAGAGUAACUGUUCAGGUAUUGACGGUAUUUAACCAGAAAGCCACGGCUAACUACGUGCCAGCAGCCGCGGUAAUACGUAGGUGGCAAGCGUUGUCCGGAUUUAUUGGGCGUAAAGCGAGCGCAGGCGGUUUUUUAAGUCUGAUGUGAAA
rnacentral:rRNA from 2 species